GAUGAACGCUGGCGGCGUGCCUAAUACAUGCAAGUCGAGCGAACGGACGAGAAGCUGGCUUCUCGGAUGUUAGCGGCGGACGGGUGAGUAACACGUGGAUAACCUACCUAUAAGACUGGGAUAACUUCGGGAAACCGGAGCUAAUACCGUAUAAUAUGUUGAACCGCAUGGUUCAAAAGUGAAAUACGGUCUUGCUGUCACUUAUAGAUGGAGCCGCGCUGCAUUAGCUAGUUGGUAAGGUAGCGGCUUACCAAGGCAACGAUGCAUAGCCGACCUGAGAGGGUGAUCGGCAACACUGGAACUGCGACACGGUCCAGACUCCUCCGGGAGGCAGCAGUAGGGAAUCUUCCGAAAUGGGCGAAAGCCUGACGGAGCACCGCCGCGUGAGUGAUGAAGGUCUUCGGUUCGUAAAACUCUGUUAUUAGGGAAGAACAUAUGUGUAAGUAACUGUGCACAUCUUGACGGUACCUAAUCAGAAAGCCACGGCUAACUACGUG
rnacentral:rRNA from 1 species